AUACAUGAUCUAAUCUGGUUUUUUUUAGAAUUGUUUUUCACAAAUUUCAUGACCAUCUUAAAAUGUUUACAUAGGUUAGUUUCCAGCCUUAAAUAUGUUUUAAGGGAACAAGACGGCAUUUUCAUACUUAAUAAGUUCGUACAAGUGCAACCACAAGUAUGACUCUUGGCACAACCCAUACGGGGCAAAAAGAUCCGACCACUUGUCAUUGUAUCUUCGAGCUUUUGUACAUUGAGCUUUAAUACAGGUGCCUCAAAUCGCCAAAAUGGAGCCACUGUGGGUCGCUGUCCGUUCCUUCCUCCAAAUGGUUUAAAACUGUAUCAGCCACUGUGGGUCGCUGACCUUACAUACCUAUUGUUUGAUUGCAGAGAACACGGCAAAUAUAAUAGUAUCUUGAAGAAGAAUCAUGCACAUCACCGCAUUAUCUUAGUCGCUUCGGAAUUCACUUUGUGCCACAUUUUAUGACUGAACCUUUUAUCACUUCCUGUUACGAGUCAUCAGUGACAAACUUGUUUAUAUCUUAUGCUACCAA